rnacentral:rRNA from 1 species
GACGAACGCUGGCGGCGUGCUUAACACAUGCAAGUCGAACGGAAAGGCCUGCUUUCCCUUGUGGAUUGCGGGUACUCGAGUGGCGAACGGGUGAGUAACACGUGAGUGAUCUGCCCCCAACUUGGGUAUAAGCCUGGGAAACUGGGUCUAAUUCCCGAUAGGACUGCAGGGUGGUGCCUGUGGUGGAAAACGAUUUUCUAGUGGUUGGGGAUGAGCUCGCGGCCUAUCAGCUUGUUGGUGGGGUAAUGGCCUACCAAGGCGGCGACGGGUAGCCGGCCUGAGAGGGUGGACGGCCACAUUGGGACUGAGAUACGGCCCAGACGCCUACGGGAGGCAGCAGUGGGGAAUAUUAGACAAUGGGCGGAAGCCUGAUGCAGCGACGCCGCGUGGGGGAUGACGGCCUUCGGGUUGUAAACUCCUUUCGACCGCGAGGAAGCCACCUGGUUGGAAGGGUGGUGACGGUAGUGGUAGAAGAAGCACCGGCUAACUACGUG